GACCAGACUCCUACGGGAGGCAGCAGUGAGGAAUAUUGGUCAAUGGGCUUACGCCUGAACCAGCCAAGUCGCGUGAGGGAAGACUGCCCUAUGGGUUGUAAACCUCUUUUGUCAGGGAGCAACGCCGGCUACGUGUAGCCGGACUGAGAGUACCUGAAGAAAAAGCAUCGGCUAACUCCGUGCCAGCAGCCGCGGUAAUACGGAGGAUGCGGGCGUUAUCCGGAUUUAUUGGGUUUAAAGGGUGCGUAGGGGGCGAGUUAAGUCAGCGGAAAAUUUUCGGGGCCCAACCCCGACGAGCCGUUGAAACUGGCAGACUUGAGUUGGCGAGAAGUACGCGGAAUGCGCGGUGUAGCGGUGAAAUGCAUAGAUAUCGCGCAGAACUCCGAUUGCGAAGGCAGCAUGCCGGCUCCACACUGACGCUGAGGCACGAAAGCGUGGGUAUCGAACAGGAUUAGAUACCCUUGUA
rnacentral:rRNA from 1 species